rnacentral:rRNA from 1 species
AUCUGGGCGGCGGAAUUCAGGAUGGCUGGCGUGCUCUCGCGGUGCGUCGGUCGUUUGAUAUUUCCGUCGCCAACUCACGCAGACGUCGCGACCUGUUCGCGGUCGGUCCCUGCUCGGAGGAGCCGCGUUCGAGCUCGUUGUGUGCGCGUUUCGGCGUGUCACACGGUGAAGGCGCGGAUCUCUGGCUGGCCGUCGGACAGUAUGCUUAACGGUGUCCGGUGUCGUCGUCUCGUACGCGCGGCAUCGGUACCGGUCAGCGACGAAUUCUUCGGGCCUCUUUCCGACCCGUCUUGAAACACGGACCAAGGAGUCUAACAUGCGCGCGAGUCGCGGGGUAUCGAGCGUACUUCGGUGCGUUCGUUAUGUUGCGAAACCCGUACAUGUCGAAGGCGUAAUGAAAGUGAAUGGGGAAGAUGGUGUUCCGAGUUCACGUUCCGCGAUCAUCGGUAUCGCGGCCGGACGCCCGCAUUCCCGGGGCGUCUCAACGGCCCGUCGCUGAUGCGGACAGUCGUCUCUCGGGGCGGCUGUCGGUCGGCGACGAACCGA